rnacentral:rRNA from 1 species
CUGGUCAGGAUAACGCUAGCGGCAGGCCUAACACAUGCAAGUCGAACGGUAACAGAUCUCGCUUGCGAGAUGCUGACGAGUGGCGCACGGGUGAGUAACGCGUAUGCAAUCUACCUUUAACUGAGGAAUAGCCCAGAGAAAUUUGGAUUAAUACCUCAUAGUAUUAUUUAUAGGCAUCUAUAUUAUAAUUAAAACUUCGGUGGUUAAAGAUGAGCAUGCGUCCUAUUAGCUUGUUGGUAAGGUAAAAGCUUACCAAGGCUACGAUAGGUAGGGGGCCUGAGAGGGUGACCCCCCACACUGGUACUGAGACACGGACCAGACUCCUACGGGAGGCAGCAGUGAGGAAUAUUGCGCAAUGGAGGAAACUCUGACGCAGCCAUGCCGCGUGCAGGAUGAAUGCCCUAUGGGUUGUAAACUGCUUUUCUGCAAGAAGAAACCUUAGUACGUGUACUAAGUUGACGGUACUGCAGNAAUAAGCACCGGCN